GACGAACGCUGGCGGCGUGCUUAACACAUGCAAGUCGAACGGAAAGGCCCUGCUUUUGUGGGGUGCUCGAGUGGCGAACGGGUGAGUAACACGUGAGUAACCUGCCCUUGACUUUGGGAUAACUUCAGGAAACUGGGGCUAAUAACGGAUAGGAGCUCCUGCUGCACGGUGGGGGUUGGAAAGCUUCGGCGGAUGGGGAUGGACUCGCGGCUUAUCAGCUUGUUGGUGGGGUAGUGGCUUACCAAGGCUUUGACGGGUAGCCGGCCUGAGAGGGUGACCGGCCACAUUGGGACUGAGAUACGGCCCAGACUACUACGGGAGGCAGCAGUGGGGAAUAUUGCACAAUGGGCGGAAGCCUGAUGCAGCAACGCCACGUGCGGGAUGACGGCCUUCGGGUUGUAAACCGCUUUCGCCUGUGACGAAGCGUGAGUGACGGUAAUGGGUAAAGAAGCACCGGCUAACUACGUG
rnacentral:rRNA from 1 species